rnacentral:misc_RNA from 1 species
UUGAAUACGAUUGGUACUGAUGCUGGCUCUUCACAGAGCAUGUGCUCGUCCAUUCUAUUUAUCUUCUCUUGUGCACACUUUGUAGUCUUGAAUGAAACCCUUCGCAGUCAAUGCGGUUUGGGGGCUUGAGCGUCAGCUCUGCUCCUGCUUCUUCAAGGCUAUGUUUUCAUAUACACCAUAAAGUUACAGAAUGUCUUUUGACGAUUGCGCUUGUCGUAGUCAUUAAACCUUAUA